ensembl:rRNA 5S_rRNA 5S ribosomal RNA
GGCCACAUCCAUAUCACCCUGCAGCCCAAGACCGGGUACUCAAUCAAGCUAAGCAGGGCUGAGCCUGGUCAGUACCUGGAUGGGAGACCAAAUAGGAACACUAGGUUGCUGUUGGAA